YUAUCCUGGUCAGGAUGAACGCUGGCGGCGUGCUUAACACAUNAAGUCGAACGGUGAAGCAGAGCUUGCUCUGUGGAUCAGUGGCGAACGGGUGAGUAACACGUGAGCAACCUGCCCCUGACUCUGGGAUAAGCGCUGGAAACGGCGUCUAAUACUGGAUACGAGCAACGGCCGCAUGGCCAGUUGUUGGAAAGAUUUUUUGGUUGGGGAUGGGCUCGCGGCCUAUCAGCUUGUUGGUGAGGUAAUGGCUCACCAAGGCGUCGACGGGUAGCCGGCCUGAGAGGGUGACCGGCCACACUGGGACUGAGACACGGCCCAGACUCCUACGGGAGGCAGCAGUGGGGAAUAUUGCACAAUGGGCGGAAGCCUGAUGCAGCAACGCCGCGUGAGGGAUGACGGCCUUCGGGUUGUAAACCUCUUUUAGCAGGGAAGAAGCGAAAGUGACGGUACCUGCAGAAAAAGCGCCGGCUAACUACGUGCCAGCAGCCGCGGUAAUACGUAGGGCGCAAGCGUUAUCCGGAAUUAUUGGGCGUAAAGAGCUCGUAGGCGGUUUGUCGCGUCUGCUGUGAAAUCCCGAGGCUCAACCUCGGGCCUGCAGUGGGUACGGGCAGACUAGAGUGCGGUAGGGGAGAUUGGAAUUCCUGGUGUAGCGGUGGAAUGCGCAGAUAUCAGGAGGAACACCGAUGGCGAAGGCAGAUCUCUGGGCCGUAACUGACGCUAGGAGCGAAAGG
rnacentral:rRNA from 1 species